rnacentral:rRNA from 1 species
AUGCACAUCUGGGUCCUAAAUCUUUCUAAGUUGUUCACCCGAGGUCCUAAUUUCGACUGUCCGCCGCUGACCAGCUCGCGUGGCGCUUUGACCGCUGCCACGUCGACUCCAGGGCCCACGCGGGAUAACGACCAGCCGUGCAUUUUUUCAAAAGAGCCCCCCAACCCUAAUCUCUCCACAGCCGUAGUCCUUUCCUCUCCUCUUCCCCACCUCUCUCUGCUCUGGCGAAACAGGGGAGAUCGACGGCGGCGGUCCGGUGAGAAGAGGCAGGCGGCCAUCGUAGGCGCUUGUCCGGCGGCGGCGCCGCUAGGAUGGCGCCCGUGCAUCGGCGACCUGGAGAUCCUCCUCCACGAUACGGUCAGUGUGUUGCCCAUAACCCUAACCCUCGAUCCUCUUUUUCCGUGGAUUUCGAUUUAG